GUGCUCACUUCAGCAGCACAUAUACUAAAACUGAAACGAUACAGAGAAGAUUAGCAUGACCCCUCGCAUGGAUGACAUGCAAAUUUGUGAAGCGUCCCAUAUUUUU
ensembl:snRNA U6 U6 spliceosomal RNA